CUGGAGCAGGCCGGUUGCGGAGCUCAUCGGUAGCAGCCGCCGCAGCAGUUCCGCGCGGGGGUGCCGAGGGCGGAGGAAGGCAGGGUGGACAGCUGUUGCUAGGAGUGGGCUGGACCGGACGCCAGAGACAAAGGCUCUCCAGGCAAGAGGGACUCGGCCCUGCGGCGGCGCUGCUCGGGAUUUGUGAACCCAGGAUUUCUCGCCCCUUCGUUUUUCUCUUCCGACGCUUCUCUCAUCCCGAGCCCGCGACCUCGCUCCUCACCGGAGGGCCGCGAUGGAGGUCCCGCCCCGGCUCUCCCAUGUGCCGCCGCCAUUGUUCCCCUCCGCGCCCGCUACUUUAGCCUCUCGCAGCCUCUCCCAUUGGCGGCCGCGGCCGCCGCGGCAGCUGGCGCCGCUGCUCCCUUCGCUCGCUGCCGGCACCGCCCGGCAGGGGGCGCGCCGGGGCCCGCGCCACGUCACCGCCCAGCAGCCCUCCCGAUUGGCGGGCGGGGCGGCUAUAAAGGGAGGGCGCAGGCGGCGCCCGGACCUCUUCCGCCGCCAUUUUAAAUCCGGCUCCAUACAACGCUCCGCCGCCGCUGCCGCGACUCGAACUGCGCGCCAGCACCCGCCGGCUGACAACGCCGCCGCCAUGGAGGACGUGAACGAGUACAGCAACACGGAGGAGUUCGCAGAGGGAUCCAAGAUCAACGCGAGCAAGAACCAGCAGGAUGACGGUAAAAUGUUUAUUGGAGGUUUGAGCUGGGAUACAAGCAAGAAAGAUCUGACUGAAUAUUUGUCUCGAUUUGGGGAAGUUGUAGACUGCACAAUUAAAACAGAUCCAGUCACUGGACGAUCAAGAGGAUUUGGAUUUGUGCUUUUCAAAGAUGCUGCUAGUGUUGAUAAGGUUUUGGAACUGAAGGAACACAAACUGGAUGGCAAAUUGAUAGAUCCCAAAAGGGCCAAAGCUUUAAAAGGGAAGGAACCCCCAAAAAAGGUUUUUGUGGGUGGCUUGAGCCCAGAUACUUCUGAAGAACAGAUUAAAGAAUAUUUUGGAGCCUUUGGAGAGAUUGAAAAUAUUGAACUUCCCAUGGAUACAAAAACAAAUGAAAGAAGAGGUUUUUGUUUCAUCACAUAUACAGAUGAGGAGCCAGUAAAGAAAUUGUUAGAAAGCAGAUACCAUCAAAUUGGUUCUGGGAAGUGUGAAAUCAAAGUUGCCCAACCCAAAGAGGUAUAUAGGCAGCAACAGCAACAACAAAAGGGAGGAAGAGGUGCUGCAGCUGGUGGAAGAGGUGGUACUAGGGGUCGAGGCCGAGGUCAGGGCCAAAACUGGAACCAAGGAUUUAAUAACUAUUAUGAUCAAGGAUAUGGAAAUUACAAUAGUGCCUAUGGUGGUGAUCAAAACUAUAGUGGCUAUGGCGGCUAUGACUAUACUGGGUAUAACUAUGGGAACUAUGGAUAUGGACAGGGAUAUGCAGACUACAGUGGCCAACAGAGCACUUACGGCAAGGCGUCUCGAGGGGGAGGCAAUCACCAAAACAAUUAUCAGCCAUACUAAAGGAGGACAUUGGAGAAAACAGCGGGAACUUCAUUGCAGGCCGUGUGUCACCCUGACCACGUCUAUCUCUGGGGGUCGCACGUUGCGGGCAGAGCGCAAGGCAUACACCAGAAAACGCUGUCCUGUGGAGGAGAUUGCUAAAGUAACCCAUCUGGCAGGACGACAUUGAAGAUUGAUUGGUCUUCUCUUGCUCUAAGAUGAUUAUUUUGUAAAAGACUUUCUAGUGUAUAAGACACAACCGUGUCCAACUGUAUAUAGCCGCCAAUUAGUUUUCUUUGGUUUUUACUUUGUCUUUUGCUAUCUGUGUUAUGAUUCAAUGUGGAUUUGUGUUUAUACAAAUUUUAUUUGUAUGAUUUCAUGUUAAACCUCAAAUAAAUGCUUCCUUAUGUGAUUGUU